CUACGGGGGGCUGCAGUAAGGAAUAUUGCGCAAUGGAGGCGACUCUGACGCAGCCAUGCCGCGUGCAGGAAGAAGGCCUUAUGGGUCGUAAACUGCUUUUAUUUAGGAAUAAACCCCCGAACGUGUUCGGGGCUGAAGGUACUAAACGAAUAAGCACCGGCUAACUCCGUGCCAGCAGCCGCGGUAAUACGGAGGGUGCAAGCGUUAUCCGGAUUUAUUGGGUUUAAAGGGUGCGCAGGCGGGCUAUUAAGUCAGUGGUGAAAUCCCGGGGCUCAACUCCGGAACUGCCAUUGAUACUGAUAGUCUUGAGUUUGGUUGAAGUGGGCGGAAUGUAGCAUGUAGCGGUGAAAUGCAUAGAUAUGCUACAGAACACCAAUCGCGAAGGCAGCUCACUAAGCCAAAACUGACGCUCAUGCACGAAAGCGUGGGGAUCAAACAGGAUUAGAUACCCGUGUAGUC
rnacentral:rRNA from 1 species